AUUGAACGCUGGCGGCAGGCCUAACACAUGCAAGUCGGACGGUAGCACAGAGGAGCUUGCUCCUCGGGUGACGAGUGGCGGACGGGUGAGUAAUGUCUGGGGAUCUGCCCGAUAGAGGGGGAUAACCACUGGAAACGGUGGCUAAUACCGCAUAACGUCGCAAGACCUAAGAGGGGGACCUUCGGGCCUCUCACUAUCGGAUGAACCCAGAUGGGAUUAGCUAGUAGGCGGGGUAACGGCCCACCAGGCGACGAUCCCUAGCUGGUCUGAGAGGAUGACCAGCCACACUGGAACUGAGACACGGUCCAGACUCCUACGGGAGGCAGCAGUGGGGAAUAUUGCACAAUGGGCGCAAGCCUGAUGCAGCCAUGCCGCGUGUAUGAAGAAGGCCUUCGGGUUGUAAAGUACUUUCAGCGGGGAGGAAGGCGAUGUGGUUAAUAACCGCAUUGAUUGACGUUACCCGCAGAAGAAGCACCGGCUAACUCCGUGCCAGCCGCCGCGGUAA
rnacentral:rRNA from 1 species